GAUUGUCCUAGGGUUUCUCAUCCUUUUUUAAAAAAUUCACCCAUAAGGGGUUGUUUGGAUGGCUGUAAAGUCCUUAAGUUGUAACAAGAUUACAGGUAUCUGGCAGACUGAGAACCAUGUCUAGGUUGGACAGACUACAAGCUGGGCAAUGAAAACUUGAAGUUCAAAAUGGUCUUGAAUGUCUAGUUACAUUAUCAGCUGUGUCAAAAUCUUCAAUCUGCUCUACUUCUGUUUGUUCUUGAUAUUUUGUUCAGAUAUGGAUGGUGCUUACAUAGGCACAAUAUUCCCUCUCCUAUACUUAAUGGCCUACCCUUCCGCAAAGCCAGUGAAGCUGGUCCAAAUUUACGUGCCUCAGGUUUUUGGGUUCAAGCUGUACAAGGGUUCCAGAUGACCCAAGAUGGUUUUCUGUUUGUGUUGUCCCUUUCUCAGAGGUCGUUUGCAAAUACAUUGGCCAUCAAGCGUUCCGAGGAGGAGACUUUGAUGGAAUUUUUUAUGCUGUACGUCCAAGCUAAUCAUCUAAAGCUAGAAUUUCUUUAGAAGAACGGGUGGGCCUCAUGAGACAGCUCACGGCACAAUCAGUUUCCAGGUAGUUUCUUAAAAUCCUAUGCAUGGGUGCUUUUCCUUUCCAUAUUUCUGUAUUUACAUAUGAACCAAAAUGCAUGUAAAUGCUGAUUAUAUUUAGUGUCAUUCAUAAAUCAUGUUCA